rnacentral:rRNA from 1 species
AUUGAACGCUAGCGGGAUGCUUUACACAUGCAAGUCGAACGGAGUGGCGGACGGGUGAGUAAUAUAUCGGAACGUGCCCAGUAGCGGGGGAUAACUACUCGAAAGAGUGGAUAAUACCGCAUACUAUUGGAGCAGCCCAGAUCGGAUUAGCUAGUUGGUGGGGUAAAGGCUCACCAAGGCAACGAUCCGUAGCUGGUUUGAGAGGACGACCGGCCACACUGGGACUGAGACACGGCCCAGACUCCUACGGGAGGCAGCAGUGGGGAAUGUUGGACAAUGGGCGAAACCCUGAUCCAGCCAUCCCGCGUGUAUGCUGAAGGCCUUCGGGUUGUAAAGCACUUUUGGCAGGGAAGCGGGAUCUGCAGAAUAAGCACCGGCUAACUCCGUGCCAGCAGCCGCGGUAAUUC